rnacentral:rRNA from 1 species
GAUGAACGCUGGCGGCGUGCCUAAUACAUGCAAGUCGAGCGAACGGACGAGAAGCUUGCUUCUCUGAUGUUAGCGGCGGACGGGUGAGUAACACGUGGAUAACCUACCUAUAAGACUGGGAUAACUUCGGGAAACCGUAGCUAAUACCGGAUAAUAUUUUGAACCGCAUGGUUCAAAAGUGAAAGACGGUCUUGCUGUCACUUAUAGAUGGAUCCGCGCUGCAUUAGCUAGUUGGUAAGGUAACGGCUUACCAAGGCAACGAUGCAUAGCCGACCUGAGAGGGUGGUCGGCCAGACUGGAACUGAGACACGGUCCAGACUCCUACGGGAGGCAGCAGUAGGGAAUCUUCCGCGAUGGGCGAAAGCCUGACGGAGCAACGCCGCGUGAGUGAUGAAGGUCUUCGGAUCGUAAAACUCUGUUAUUAGGGAAGAACAUAUGUGUAAGUAACUGUGCACAUCUUGACGGUACCUAAUCAGAAAGCCACGGCUAACUACGUG